rnacentral:rRNA from 1 species
AUUGAACGCUGGCGGCAGGCUUAACACAUGCAAGUCGAGCGGUAACAGAGAGAAGCUUGCUUCACUGCUGACGAGCGGCGGACGGGUGAGUAAUGCCUAGGAAUCUGCCUAGUAGUGGGGGAUAACUUGCCGAAAGGUAAGUUAAUACCGCAUACGUCCUACGGGAGAAAGGAGGGGACCUUCGGGCCUUUCGCUAUUAGAUGAGCCUAGGUCGGAUUAGUUAGUUGGUGAGGUAAUGGCUCACCAAGACUGCGAUCCGUAACUGGUCUGAUAGGAUGAUCAGUCACACUGGAACUGAGACACGGUCCAGACUCCUACGGGAGGCAGCAGUGGGGAAUAUUGGACAAUGGGGGGAACCCUGAUCCAGCCAUGCCGCGUGUGUGAAGAAGGCCUUAGGAUUGUAAAGCACUUUAAGUUGGGAGGAAGAGCAGUUAACUAAUAUUUGACUGUUUUGACGUUACCGACAGAAUAAGCACCGGCUAACCUCGUGCCAGCAGCCGCCGUAA